rnacentral:rRNA from 2 species
CUCAGAACGAACGCUGGCGGCAGGCCUAACACAUGCAAGUCGAGCGCACUUAUGACCUUCGGGUUAUAGGCGAGCGGCGGACGGGUUAGUAACGCGUGGGAACGUACCCUUUACUACGGAAUAGCCUUGGAAACGAAGAGUAAUACCGUAUACGCCCUUGGGGGAAAGAUUUAUCGGUAAAGGAUCGGCCCGCGUAAGAUUAGAUAGUUGGUGGGGUAAUGGCCUACCAAGUCUACGAUCUUUAGCUGGUUUGAGAGGAUGAUCAGCAACACUGGGACUGAGACACGGCCCAGACUCCUACGGGAGGCAGCAGUGGGGAAUCUUAGACAAUGGGCGAAAGCCUGAUCUAGCCAUGCCGCGUGAGUGAAGAAGGCCCUAGGGUCGUAAAACUCUUUCGCCAGAGAUGAUAAUGACAGUAUCUGGUAAAGAAACCCCGGCUAACUCCGUGCCAGCAGCCGCGGUAAUACGGAGGGGGUUAGCGUUGUUCGGAAUUACUGGGCGUAAAGCGCACGUAGGCGGACUGAUCAGUUAGAGGUGAAAUCCCAGGGGCUCAACCCUGGAACUGCCUUUAAUACUGUCAGUCUAGAGAUCGAGAGAGG